UACGGCUCAGUAACACGUGGCUAAUCUGCCCUUAGGACGAGAACAACCCCGGGAAACUGGGGCUAACUCUCGAUAGGCGAAGAACUCUGGAAUGAGUCUUCACCUAAAUAGUUCGGCGUUAUGCUCGUUGGACCGCCUAAGGAUGAGGCCGCGACCGAUCAGGUUGUUGGUGAGGUAAUGGCUCACCAAGCCUUUUACCGGUGCGGGCCGUGAGAGCGGGAGCCCGGAGAUGGGCACUGAGACAAGGGCCCAGGCCCUACGGGGCGCAGCAGUCGCGAAAACUUUGCAAUACACGAAGGUGUGACAGGGCUAUCCCGAGUGCCAUCCGCUGAGGAAGGCUUUUACCCAGUCUAGAAAGCUGGGGGAAUAAGGAGAGGGCAAGUCUGGUGUCAGCCGCCGCGGUAAUACCAGCUCUCCGAGUGGUGUGGAUGUUUAUUGGGCCUAAAGCAUCCGUAGCUGGCUAAGUUAGUCCCUUGUUAAAUCCACCGAAUUAAUCGUUGGAUCGCGGGGGAUACUGCUUGGCUAGGGGACGAGAGAGGCAGACGGUAUUUUCGGGGUAGGGGUGAAAUCCUAUAAUCCCGGGAAGACCACCAGUGGCGAAGGCUGUCUGCUAGAACGCGCCCGACGGUGAGGGAUGAAAGCUGGGGGAGCGAACCGGAUUAGAUACCCGGGUAGUCCCAGCUGUAAACGAUGCAGGCUAGGUGUUUGGACGGCCACGUGCCGUUCUAGUGCCGCAGGGAAGCUGUUAAGCCUGCCGCCUGGGGAGUACGAUCGCAAGAUUGAAACUUAAAGGAAUUGGCGGGGGAGCACA
rnacentral:rRNA from 1 species